CAUCUAGUGACUGAGCUCAUAUCAAGUGUCUAAAGAAGACAGUUUCUGAGGAUAGGGUCAUGAUGGUUGCUGAAGCUUCUACUCCAGAGCUGAAGGGCAGCAGCAUUCAGCAGACCACUGACACUUCCAUACUGUUAAACAUCUGAGAAGGGUGUGCAUGCUAUACCAGAACCAAGAGCUCGAAGAGAAGAACCAUGUGUGGUGUGGAAUCUGUUAGGCUACUGGAAAAGAGUAGACAGAACACAGGGACACUAUAGCCAUGCUGCACACCAUACUUAUGCACAGACCCUAGACUUUCUGCAGACCAGACCUAAGAGUACAGCAACUGACAGGAGUCUCACUUGCUUCUUCCUUAAAUGUUGACCUGUCCUAGUGAAAGUGACAUCUCAGAUGAUCUUUAAACUUACACAUUCUGAGGCCAUCACAUGGAGUUAUCAGAUGUAGCAAAUAAAAAUACAGGAAGCUAAGGU
rnacentral:lncRNA from 1 species